UGGGGAAUAUUGCACAAUGGGGGAAACCCUGAUGCAGCGACGCCGCGUGAGCGAAGAAGGUUUUCGAAUCGUAAAGCUCUGUCCUAUGGGAAGAUAAUGACGGUACCCUGUGAGGAAGCCCCGGCUAACUACGUGCCAGCAGCCGCGGUAAUACGUAGGGGGCUAGCGUUAUCCGGAUUUACUGGGCGUAAAGGGUGCGUAGGUGGUCUUUCAAGUCGGUGGUUAAAGGCUACGGCUCAACCGUAGUUAGCCUCCGAAACUGGAAGACUUGAGUGCAGGAGAGGAAAGUGGAAUUCCCAGUGUAGCGGUGAAAUGCGUAGAUAUUGGGAGGAACACCAGUAGCGAAGGCGGCUUUCUGGACUGCAACUGACACUGAGGCACGAAAGCGUGGGUAGCAAACAGG
rnacentral:rRNA from 1 species